UGUAUAUCGGUGUUGAGUGAUUUAGUAUCAACAUGAAGCUGUAUCUAGUAUUGUUUGUCGUGAUUGCUGCUCUUGUAGCUUUUGUCAGUCCUGCUUCUUUGCCACUCGAUUCAUGUAAGGAAGGCUAUGUCAGACUAGGAGACAAAUGUGUCAGACCUAACUAAAAUAAGAAGAUGAUGCCGAUGAUAUAUAAUGUUCAAGAUGUCAAGUAGUUCUGAAAGCAAGAUUUUUAAUUGAAAUACAUUUAGAACCCACUCAGUUGUUUUUUUUGUUAAUUAAAAAAUAAAUCUCACAAGUAUAGGUACCUUAUGUCCAGUGUUAAAAUAGUUUUCACUGUUUUGUUGGACAUUAUGUGCUUUAUGAAACACAAAAAGUACCUUUUAAUAGAUAAAUAAAUAAGUAGUGAAUUACCCGAAUUUGUGACUUACAAACGGUACUUACUAAAAAGAAGCGGAAGAAAAAACACGUGUAAUAGAAUAGACAGAAACUACAAAUAUACAUUGAACCGCAAACCACCCAUCCAAUUACAAGACUGAUUGACAGCAGCUUAACCACACUUCAGUGAACAAAUAAAUCCAUGUGUAUUAUUAAUUUUAUCAUCUGAAUAAAUAAACACAAAAAUUAAUAAUUUUACUGCAAUGCAAUAAAAAACAGAUUGACGCAUUUUUGUAGGUAACUACAUUAAAUAUCAAAAGGUCUUUUAAAGUUGCUAAAGGUUUUAUUAUUCGACAAAAGUUUGUACCUAUUAUGAAUACCAAAAAGAAGUACCAGAUAUUUCUUUUUUUUGCCAAGCACAGUUAUAUGGCAGCGAGAAGGAAUAGUUUUGAUUCUCUUAGCAGGAGAAACCAUAUUAUCAUAAUGAUUGCCUUGCCUUAGAGGCUUGUCCACAACCUUAUAGAAUGCAGAUUUAGAAUAUAAUAUCGCUUUCAAUUUUAUAUCUGGAUGCGUUCUUGAGGAAAAACAGCUAAAGUAUAGGUACCUACUUGACUUUAAUGCAUAGAGGUAUGUUAAUUAGCAUAAAGAAAAGGAAUUAGAAAACAACAUACAAAUGUAGAUACGGUAUUUACUUGAUAAAUGAGUUAGGUAUCAAUUUUGAAGGUUGUAGGAGUAAGUAUAAAAGGAGUUGGUCAUUCAGUAAUCGUGUAUAUCGGUGUUGAGUGAUUUAGUAUCAACAUGAAGCUGUAUCUAGUAUUAUUUGUCGUGAUUGCUGCUCUUGUAGCCUCUACAAGUUGUACUCAAUAUGUGCUAGACUCGAACAAAUGUGUGCAAGGCUAUAUCAGAGUAGGAAAUGUUUGUGUCCCAUCUGAAUAAGAAGAUUAUUUGGAUGAUACAUAAUGCUCAAGAUGUCAAAUAGUUCUGAAAGCAAGUUUUUUUAUUAAAAUGCUUUUGAUACCCA
rnacentral:lncRNA from 1 species